GUGGUAAAGGCGCACCUAGGCGACGAUCAGUAGCUGGUCUGAGAGGAUGAUCAGCCACACUGGGACUGAGACACGGCCCAGACUCCUACGGGAGGCAGCAGUGGGGAAUUUUCCGCAAUGGGCGAAAGCCUGACGGAGCAAUACCGCGUGAGGGAGGAAGGCUCUUGGGUUGUAAACCUCUUUUCUCAGGGAAGAAAAAAUGACGGUACCUGAGGAAUAAGCAUCGGCUAACUCCGUGCCAGCAGCCGCGGUAAUACGGAGGAUGCAAGCGUUAUCCGGAAUGAUUGGGCGUAAAGGGUCCGCAGGUGGCAUUGUAUGUCUGCUGUUAAAGAGUCUGGCUCAACCAGAUCAAAGCAGUGGAAACUACAAAGCUAGAGUAUGGUCGGGGCAGAGGGAAUUUCUGGUGUAGCGGUGAAAUGCGUAGAUAUCAGGAAGAACACCGAUGGCGAAGGCGCUCUGCUAGGCCAAAACUGACACUGAGGGACGAAAGCUAGGGGAGCGAAUGGGAUUAGAUACCCCAGUAGUCCUAGCCGUAAACGAUGGAUACUAGGCGUAGCUCGUAUCGAUCCGAGCUGUGCCGUAGCUAACGCGUUAAGUAUCCCGCCUGGGGAGUACGCAGGCAACUGUGAAACUCAAAGGAAUUGACGGGGGCCCGCACAAGCGGUGGAGUAUGUGGUUUAAUUCGAUACAACACGAAGAACCUUACCUGGGCUUGGCAUGGUCGUAGUAGUGAACCGAAAGGGGAACGAGCCUUCGGGCAGCGAUCACAGGUGCUGCAUGGCUGUCGUCAGCUCGUGUCGUGAGAUGUUGGUUAAGUCCCGCAACGAGCGCAACCCUCGCUACUAGUUAAAUCUGUCUAGUGGGACUGCCGGAGUCAAACCGGAGGAAGGUGGGGAUGACGUCAAGUCAGCAUGGCCUUUAUGUCCAGGGCCACACACACGCUACAAUGGCCGGUACAAUGGGUUGCCAAGCCGCGAGGCGGAGCUAAUCCCAUCAAAGCCGGUCUCAGUUCGGAUUGUAGGCUGCAACCCGCCUACAUGAAGUCGGAGUUGCUAGUAACCGCAGGUCAGCUAUACUGCGGUGAAUACGUUCCCGGGCCUUGUACACACCGCCCGUCACGUCAUGGGAGCUGGUAACACCUGAAGCCGGUGAGCUAACCGUAAGGAGGCAGCUGUCGAAGGUGGGGCCGGUGACUGGGACGAAGUCGUAACAAGGUAGCUGUAGCGGAAGCUGCGGCUG
rnacentral:rRNA from 1 species